UACGAAGGGGGCUAGCGUUGUUCGGAUUUACUGGGCGUAAAGCGCGUGUAGGCGGACUUGUGAAGUUGGGGGUGAAAUCCCGAGGCUCAACCUCGGAACUGCCUCCAAAACUACAAGUCUGGAGCAAGAUAGAGGCAAGUGGAAUUGCGAGUGUAGAGGUGAAAUUCGUAGAUAUUCGCAGGAACACCAGUGGCGAAGGCGACUUGCUGGAUCUUUGCUGACGCUGAGACGCGAAAGCGUGGGGAGCAAACAGG
rnacentral:rRNA from 1 species